rnacentral:rRNA from 1 species
GCCGCUCAGAACUAAGGAAUUGACGGGGCCGCACAAGCGGAGGAGCAUGUGGUUUAAUUCGAUGAUACGCGAGGAACCUUACCUGGGCUCGAACGUAAGAUGACUGUAGGUGAAAGCUUACAUCUCUUCGGAGCAUUUUACGAGGUGCUGCAUGGUUGUCGUCAGCUCGUGCCGUGAGGUGUCGGGUUAAGUCCCAUAACGAGCGCAACCCCUACCUUUAGUUGCCAUCAGGUUAAGCUGGGGACUCUAAAGGAACUGCCUACGCAAGUAGUGAGGAAGGCGGGGAUGACGUCAAAUCAGCACGGCCCUUACGUCCAGGGCUACACACGUGCUACAAUGGCCGAUACAGAGGGCAGCUACCUGGUGACAGGAUGCAAAUCUCCAAAGUCGGUCUCAGUUCGGAUCGGAGUCUGCAACCCGACUCCGUGAAGUUGGAUUCGCUAGUAAUCGCGCAUCAGCCAUGGCGCGGUGAAUACGUUCCCGGGCCUU